UGUAAUGCAUAGAGAUUACUAGCAAGCAAAAUGAUCAUAGGUAUCUGUCAUAUCAGAAUACCCAAAAUGAACAUAGAUAUGUCUGUCAUAUCAGAAUACCCCAAAUGAACAUAGAUGUCUGUCAUAUCAGUAUACCCAAAAUGAACAUAGAAGUCUGACAUAUCAGAAUACCCCAAAUGAACAUAGAUGUCUGUCAUAUCAGAAUACCCCAAAUGAACAUAGAUGUCUGUCAUAUCAGAAUACCCAAAAUGAACAUAGAUGUCUGUCAUAUCAGAAUACCCAAAA